GAAAUGCGAUAAGUAAUGUGAAUUGCAGAAUUCAGUGAAUCAUCGAAUCUUUGAACGCACAUUGCGCCCGCCAGUAUUCUGGCGGGCAUGCCUGUUCGAGCGUCAUUACAACCCUCAGGCCCCCGGGCCUGGCGUUGGGGAUCGGCGGAAGCCCCCUGCGGGCACAACGCCGUCCCCCAAAUACAGUGGCGGUCCCGCCGCAGCUUCCAUUGCGUAGUAGCUAACACCUCGCAACUGGAGAGCGGCGCGGCCACGCCGUAAAACACCCAACUUCUGAAUGUUGACCUCGAAGCAGGUAGGAAUACCCGCUGAACUCAAGC
rnacentral:misc_RNA from 1 species